GAAGGGGGAGAGGGUGGUGCCACUGCUGCAAGUCUACAACUGCGGUGUCUCCCUUCGUGCAGCGCACGAGGAGGAGAGGGCGCGGAAUAGGGGAACAUCGAUCCGGACGUGGUUCCGAGAUGCACAUUGCAGAACCAGAUAAGCACCGUCGCUUCAGCCUUCAGAGAGGAUUCUCCAACCAGUUGAGCAGCACCUUCAUCGAUCUGUGCGAUUCUACAGUUGAGAUAGAAUUGUUGGUACGUCUCAUUGCCUCCUUCUAUCUCGAAAAUCCUAUACGUUAGAAAUAUCUACUAUUGUUAUAUAUGUUGCCCUGCAUCACUUCUUUUGGUAUUCCAGAUGUCGAAGUUUACUAAGCUAAGCUUUGAGAUGGGAAAGACGGUAUUUGGAAUAACCUCAAUAUUACCUUCUGGUCUAUUGGAUCAAUAUAAUCGACAAGUCUCAGAAAAUAUAUCAUCAACUAUAUGCGAGACAAGGCGAGUGUUGCUGCUCCGUGUUGUAGUUCGAAUAACCUCAUUAGUAUCUUCUGAGCUAUUGGAUCAAUAUCAUCGACGAGAGUCUCUCAGGAAAAAUAUCAUCAUCAAGAGGCAAGGCGAACUGUUGUUGCUCCGUGCUACUCGGUUCUCUGAGGUAUCCACAAAUUGUUGAUGACAAAAUAAUUAGAAAUCGUUGACUGCCGAGAAAAGAGGAGGUGAAUACUACAUAUGAUUGAUUUAGGAUUAAUUAUUAGACAGUAUAUCUAUCGAGCUUGGACAUUAGGUGAUACAUGCCAACUGAUGACCCCUGAAUAUUGUAUAUGAACUGGCGUUUUUUCCAUUUUCGAUAUAAGGUGAUACAUGCCAAGAGUUAGUAUUUGGAAUGCCUGAUAUUUCCUUUAAAUUUGUGGUGUGGUUUCUCGCGAGAUUGGUCAUCUCCUCCAUACGGUAAUCCUACUCCUAAGUGUGUGUUCAGUUGCAUGUUUAUGAUAUAGAAACUAAGUUGGAUCAUAGAAUGAAUAUAUUCAAUAGACAUGAUGAUAAAGAGGAGGAGGCGGCUGACAUGAAUGGGCAGUUGUUGCCAUGGAGUCACCCUUGGCAGAGACAGAGGAGCCGGAUCCUCUUGAAUGUGAAGUUGACAGGGAGGAAUCAGAUCCUGCAACAGUAGAAUCUCUAUAUAUGUGGCUAGGUCAUCAUUUUGCUGUGUAUAAUU